CCCUUAGAUGUCCUGGGCCGCACGCGCGUUACACUGAUGCAUUCAACGAGCUUAUAACCUUGGCCGAGAGGCCUGGGCAAUCUUGUUAACGUGCAUCGUGAUAGGGAUAGAUUAUUGAAAUUAUUAAUCUUGAACGAGGAAUUCCUAGUAAACGCAGAUCAUCAAUCGGCAUUGAUUACGUCCCUGCCCUUUGUACACACCGCCCGUCGCACCUACCGAUUGGAUGGUCCGGUGAAGCCUCGGGAUUGUGGUUCUUGCCGCUUUAUUGUGGCGUGACCGCGAGAACUUGUCUAAACCUUAUCAUCUAGAGGAAGGUGAAGUCGUAACA
rnacentral:rRNA from 1 species